ensembl:misc_RNA Metazoa_SRP Metazoan signal recognition particle RNA
GCUGGGCAUGCUGGUGCAUGCCUGUAGUCCCAGCUACUUGGGAGGCUGAGGUGGGAGGAUCACUUGAGCCCAGGAGGUCAAAGCUGCAGUGAGCCAUGAUUGUGCCAUUGCAGUCCAGCCUGGGUGACAAAGUGAGACCCUGUAUCAA